rnacentral:lncRNA from 1 species
GGUGACACCAGCACCUCUGGCUCAGCCCAGGCCUCCCCAAGCCCCCAGCCCCAAAACUGUGAGUGUUGGGCACUGAGAGAGCCCAGAGCCACCCCUGGGGAGGUGACACCCAUGGGGAGGUGACACAAAUGGGGAGGUGACACAAAUAAGGAGGUGACACCAAUGGGGAGGUGACACCCAUGGGGAGGUGACACCCCCAGAGGUCACUCUGCUCGCUGCUUGUGUUUGCACUGGAGUUCUGGUCCUGUCUGUAGGUUUUAAACAAUAAAAGUUUGCAGAGGUGAUGUUGGUUUUCAGGGCAUUGCCCGAGGGGGUUUGGCUCUGGGAAUGUCACUUUGUCUCUGCUUGGAUGGCUCAUUCCCCCCCUGCUUUGCCACCAGACUGGCUGGGCAGUGCUGCUGUGGCUGCAGGAGCAGGGAGGGGAGGGCACUCCCAGCCCUUUCACCCUUGCAUCCUUUUAUUUGAGGUAUUUAGGGGGGCUCACAAGUGCCCACGCCUGAAAUAAAAGCUGAUAAUCAACCCCAGCCUCUGCAAUGGACAGAAGUGUUCAUUCUCGCACUGCAGAGUCCAAAAAUCUCAUUUUCCCCGAGGACUUUUCCCAGCUUUUCCUUCCAAGAGCUCCAGGUUUGUCCCCCUGGGUCACAGCCAUGGCCAGCUGGGCCAUUCCAUGGGAAUAUUUCAUUCCAAACUGGGCUAUUCCAUGGGAAUAUUUCAUUCCAAGCUGGACUAUUCCAUGGGAAUAUUCCAUUCCAAGCUGGGCUAUUCCAUGGGAAUGCUGCUGCUCGCUCCUCACAUCUCACAUUUCACAGCUGGAGGAAUGCAGACAUUCCCAAGGCUUUUUCUUUCCCAGAGACUUUCCAUGGAGUGAGAAAAACCUGGGGAGAGGAUCCCAGCAGCUCUGGUGAGCCCACCCUGAGCUCGGGGGCAGCGCCCAGCACCUUCUGGGGGCCUGUCACCCCCCAGGAGAGGCCAGGGAGGGUUUGGAGUGGGCACCAAGUGGAAUUCAGCAAUCCCCACCCAUGGCCCAGCUCAGUUUUCCUCCCCCAGCUCUGGAAAAGGCCCCAGGAUUUAAUGUCUGUGAGAAAUGCAGAAUUCCUGCUCAGGCUGCAGGGGAGGGGACACGUCCUCUUCACCAUGGGGACACCUGCACUGACCCUGUGGCAGGAGAAAACAUUUCCCCGUUUCCCCUCGUGCUUUACUCCUUCCCAAGAUGUUUUCCCUUCCCACAUUACCAGGCAGGACCCUCCAAAACAUUUAACUAUGAAAAAAUACUUAAAUAAUCUAAAAAGUUCUGGCAAUGUGCUGCAGACUCUCAGCCACUGUCUGCAUCCAGGAUGAUUUAUUUUACAGCUCAUGUUAUUUUAUUUUACAAGUGAUUUUAUAGCUGUUUCUGAAAUGCAAAGAUGCAUUACCCAGAGAGAGGAUGCUCUGUCUGGGUCCCCCUGGCACUCCCAUCAGCCCCACACAAACCCUUAUCUCUGACUCAGAUUUGGGGCUUUCUCUGCCAAAUUUAGGGAGAAAAAAGCAAUUUCUUUCCCUGCCAGAAGCUUGGUUAUUCCUGGUGGUGCCUGAGCCAGAUUGUGUGAAAUCCAUUCUGGGAGGAAUGGGCACUUCAAGCUCUGUCACACCCAAAAAAAUCAGCUUUUUGUCAGGAGUGCUUUGGGAGGAAAACCACCAAGUGUGAGCUCCCAGCACAAGGGAAAAACGGUGAAAAUUUGUGCACAGCAGUUUGUGCCCAGGAUUUGCUGCAGCUCAGCAAGGAACGGCUCAGAGCCCACGGGAGAUUUGUGUAGGUCUUUAAUUAAUAAUAACAUCAAGGCCAGCAAUCCAGAGUAAUGACUGGAUUUAACAAAGGACACAUGCAACACACGGAGGGGGUGACACGUCUGCACAGCACCGGCUGAGCUGACAGCCCAAACCCAGCUCCCCCUGCCCCAAACCUGCCCCAAACCUGCCCCAAACCUGCCCCAAACCUGCCCCAAACCUGCCCAAAUGUCACCCAAAAGUGGCCAGAGCUCCCCAAGGCAGCCGAGCCCCUCCCCAAAAUCAGCAGUGACAGAGGUGCCUCCACAGCAGGAGCAGAGAGGGGAUCCAGGCGGGCACAGAAGUGGGCAAGGAAAGGAAAUCAAAUCAAAUCAAAUCAAAUCAAUAAGCAGAGGCUGAGCCCUUGUCAGGGGCUGCCAGGCCCUGCCAGAGCUGGGCAGGAAGGGCAGAAAAGGCAUUUCCAGCUGCUUUGGGGUGAACAUCUCAGCCAGGGCUGGCCAAGGCCAGGGGCACAGGGUGCAGAGUGCUCCAGCUCGUUCGACCUCAUUUACAUGGCAUUAAUUGCUGGGGGAGCUGGCAGGACCGAGGUUCUGCUCCCAGCCUUCCACAAAAUCCCUAAAUUCAUCCUUAGGGUCCAGCACAAAGGGAGUGUGGCUUUUAGAGGCACCUGAGGGACUUUUGGGAGCCGUUUCUGUUUAGGCUGGGCCGAAAUCACAGAGCCCAGAAUGGGGUGGAGGGACCCAAAAUCCUCCCAGUGCCACCCCUGCCAUGGCAGGGACGCUUUUCCCUGUCCCAGCUGCUCCAGCCUGGCUUGGGGACACUCCCAGGGGUGCAGGAGCAGCCCCAGCUGCUCUGGGAAUCCCAUCCCGUCCCUGCCCAUGGGAGAAUUCCUUCCGAAAUUCCAACCAGGUCACCCCCAGACGUGCUCUGAUUUUUGUGGGAUCGUCAGGAAGGGUCACCAAGCCCAUCCUCUGCUGGGUUGGGGUUUUUUUCAGCCAGAUCCACGUGCAAAACCCCUUUG